rnacentral:tRNA from 1 species
AAAAGAGAGUAUAGUAGACUGCUAAUCUAGUCCCCCGAGACUAGCCCCUCGGCUCUUU